rnacentral:tRNA from 1 species
AUCAUAGUGGUGCAGCAGAAGCGUGGUGGGCCCAUAACCCAUAGGUCGGAGGAUCGAAACCUCUCUCUGAUA